rnacentral:rRNA from 1 species
GACGAACGCUGGCGGCGUGCUUAACACAUGCAAGUCGAACGAUGAAGCCUAGCUUGCUAGGUUGUUUAGUUGCGAACGGGUGAGUAAUACGUGAGUAACCUACCUUUAACUCUGGGAUAAGCCCGUGCAACUGGGUCUAAUACCUGAUACGACCAAUCUCCGCCUGGGUUGUUGGUGGGAAGCGUUAUGUAGUGGUUAUAGAUGGGCUGACGGCCUAUCAGCUUUUUGGUGAGGUAACGGCUCACCAAGGCGAAGACGGAUAGCCGGCCUGAGAGUGUGAGCAGCGACAAGGCGACUGAGAGACGGAGCAGAAUCGUACGGGAGGCAGCAGUGGGGAAUAUUGCACAGUGGGGGCAAGCCAGAUGCAGAGAUGCCGCGUGAGGGAUAACGGGCUACGGGGUGUAAACAUAUGUGAGAAGGGAAGAAGAGAGAUUGACGGUACCUGCAGAGAAAGCGACGGCUAACUACGUG